UUCUUCUGUUUAUCAACAAUUUGGGUUUAGUUUACCCGCUUACUUUUUACUUUUCUUUACUUGUUUCUGUCAAUGUUUUUCGUAACCCAUUUUUUUAUUUUGUAUUUAGAUAGACACAGUGUCCAGUUUGUUUGGAGAAACUAUAUACCGAUGUCGGCCGAGUUCUUGCCCUUUCUUUAAAUCCCCUCUGUCCUCGUGUACACCCAUGCGAGUGUGGGGGUAUUCACUAGGACACCCUUUUUACCCUCUCCUGCCUGGUGGAUUCAACUUUACUACUUACGGGUGGAUGGAGCACUCUUAUGGAUGCCUGCCCUGGCCGUAUUUCCUAGGCUUAAAGAGGAGUGAUGGCUACAUCUGCGCAAGUGACGAAGGAUUCCUGGUAGCACAAGCCGCUGCCUCCACCAGGACACAUUCCUGGGCUAUUUCCUGCAUUGGGUGAAACAACAUAAGAGUUUAGUUACAGGCCAGAUUUAUCCACAUGUUGCAGAACGCAGUUGUCGCAAGUGACACCCAUUGGCAACUUGAUGGUUGGGAUAAAUUUGCCAGUUGUGCCGCCGAUAUGGAAUUUCGUACCGUCAACUAUCCCGUCACCUUGUCCCGGCAUCUCCAC